rnacentral:rRNA from 1 species
CAAAAACAUCACCUCAUGAACACUCAUAAGAGGCCUGGCCUGCCCAGUGAUAAUUUUAACGGCCGCGGUAUCCUAACCGUGCAAAGGUAGCGUAAUCACCUGUUUCUUAAUUAGAGACCUGUAUGAAUGGCAUCACGAGAGUCACACUGUCUCCUCUUUCAAGUCAGUGAAACUAAUCUUUCUGUGAAAAAGCAGAAAUUCUUAAACAAGACGAGAAGACCCUUUGGAGCUUAAGACCAAUAAAAUUUAUGCCUCCUACUUUACACACACCACCCGCAAUACAAAUUUUAAUAGUCUUCAGUUGGGGCAACUACGGAGUAAAAAUAACCCUCCAAGAUGAACGGAAUUUUCCUAAACUAAAAGCCACAGCUUUACGUAUCAACAAAGUGACAUUAUUAGACCCAAUAAAUUUGAUUAACGAACUAAGUUACCCUAGGGAUAACAGCGCAAUCCACCCUAAGAGUCCCUAUCGACGAGUGGGCUUACGACCUCGAUGUUGGAUCAAGGCAUCCCAGUGGUGCAACCGCUACUAAAGGUUCGUUUGUUCAACGAUUAAAGCCUUACGUGAUCUGAGUUCCAGACCGGA